rnacentral:rRNA from 1 species
GACGAACGCUGGCGGCGUGCUUAACACAUGCAAGUCGAACGGAAAGGCCCUGCUUUUGUGGGGUGCUCGAGUGGCGAACGGGUGAGUAACACGUGAGUAACCUGCCCUUGACUUUGGGAUAACUUCAGGAAACUGGGGCUAAUACCGGAUAGGAGCUCCUGCUGCAUGGUGGGGGUUGGAAAGUUUCGGCGGUUGGGGAUGGACUCGCGGCUUAUCAGCUUGUUGGUGGGGUAGUGGCUUACCAAGGCUUUGACGGGUAGCCGGCCUGAGAGGGUGACCGGCCACAUUGGGACUGAGAGACGGCCCAGACGCCUACGGGAGGCAGCAGUGGGGAAUAUUGCACAAUGGGCGGAAGCCUGAUGCAGCAACGCCGCGUGCGGGAUGACGGCCUUCGGGUUGUAAACCGAUUUCGCCUGUGACGAAGCGUGAGUGACGGUAAUGGGUAAAGAAGCACCGGCUAACUACGUG